GGUCUUCCCUCUGCUCCAUCUCCCCGGCCUUCGUUGAUGGCAAUGGAAGAAGAAAUCGUCGCGCUCGUCAUUGACAAUGGCUCCGGCAUGUGCAAAGCUGGCUUUGCUGGUGACGACGCCCCCAGGGCCGUGUUCCCGUCCAUCGUCGGGCGCCCCCGACACCAGGGCGUCAUGGAGGACAUGGGCCAGAAAGACUCGUACGUGGGUGACGAGGCCCAGAGCAAGAGAGGUAUCCUGACCCUGAAGUACCCCAUCGAGCACGACAUCGUCACCAACUGGGACGACAUGGAGAAGAUCUGGCAUCACACCUUCUACAACGAGCUGUGUGUGGCCCUUGAGGAGCAUCUGAUGCUUCUGACCGAGGCCCCCCUGAACCCCAAAGCGAACAGAGAGAAGAUGACGCAGAUAAUGUUUGAAACCUUCAUCACCCCAUUCCACAUUCAGUCGGUGCUGUCCCUGUAUGCAUCUGGGCGCACCGAUGGCAUUGUCAUGGACUCUGAUGACGGUGUCACACACAGUGCCCAUCUACGAGGGCUACGCCCUUCCCCACGCCAUCUUGCGUCUGGACCUGCCUGACCAGGACCUGACAGACUACCUCGUGAAGAUCCUGACUGAGCGGGGCUACAGCUUCACCACCACGACUGAGCGGGAAAUCGUGCGUGACAUUAAGGAGAAGCUGUGCUAUGUUGCCCUGGAUUUUGAGCAAGAAAUGGCCACUGCUGCAUCAUCCUCUUUCUUGGAAAAGAGCUAAGAGCUGCCUGAUGGGCAGGUGAUCACCAUCGGCAACGACCGGUUUCGGUGUUCAGAGGCUCUCUUCCAGCCUUCCUUCCUGGGCAUGGAGUCCUGUGGCAUCCACGAGACCACCUUCAACUCCAUCAUGAAGUGUGAUGUGGACAUCUGCAAGGGCCUGUAUGCCAACACAGUGUUGUCCGGUGGUACCACCAUGUACCCAGGCAUUGCCAACAGGAUGCAGGAGACCACAGCCCUAGCGCCCAGCACGAUGAAGUUCAAGAUCAUUGCUCCCCGCUGAGUGCAAGUACUCAGUCUGGAUUGGCGGCUCCAUUCUGGCCUCACUGUCCACCUUCCAGCAGAUGUGGAUCAGCAAGCAGGAGUAUGAGGAGUCGGGCCCCUCCAUCGUCCACCGCAAAUGCUUCUAGAUGGACUGAGCAGGUGCCAGGCAUCUGCUGCAUGAGCUGAUUCUGAAGCAUCAAUUUGCCCUGGCAAAUGUACACACCUCAUGCUAGCCUGGUGAAACUGGAAUAAGCCUUUGAAAAGAAAUUUGUCCUUGAAGCUUGUAUCCAAUAUCAGCACUGGAUUGUAGAACUUGUUGCUGAUUUUUGACCUUGUAUUUGAGUUAACUGUUCCCUUGGUAUAUGUUUAAUGCCCUGUGCAUAUCUUGAUUUAGUCCUUCGCCAUGUGGCUUGGUCACUUGGUGGCUGGGGAGGGCGAGAGCAUGCUAUGGUAGAGAAAUCCCCAGCCUGGUGGAUGUGUGAGCAUCAUGCAGUGAUCUGUGCUGGGUAUUAACUGACUGCUGACUUCCAGGAUUUCUCAAGGCUGGCAAGGGUUCCUGAACCAGUUACCACUUCUGUCUUGCCGGUCUAACAGAGUGGGAAAGUCCGAGCCUUAGGACCCAUUUCUGGUGUUUUCCCUCCUGACCGCGUGGGUUGUUACUUGCCUUGAGUUGGGAACGUUUGCAUUGACACCUAUAAAUGCAUUCAUUUUAAUUUAUGUAAGGUUUUUGUACUCAAUUUAAGAAAUAACAAAUUUUGGUUUUCUACGGUUCAGUGAGAACAUUAGGCCCCAGCAACAU